AGCGUACACGGUGGAUGCCCUGGCAGUCAGAGGCGAUGAAGGACGUGCUAAUCUGCGAUAAGCGCCGGUAAGGUGAUAUGAACCGUUAUAACCGGCGAUUUCCGAAUGGGGAAACCCAGUGUGACUCGUCACACUAUCAUUAACUGAAUCCAUAGGUUAAUGAGGCGAACCGGGGGAACUGAAACAUCUAAGUACCCCGAGGAAAAGAAAUCAACCGAGAUUCCCCCAGUAGCGGCGAGCGAACGGGGAGGAGCCCAGAGCCUGAAUCAGCAUGUGUGUUAGUGGAAGCGUCUGGAAAGGCGCGCGAUACAGGGUGACAGCCCCGUACACAAAAGCGCAUGUGCUGUGAGCUCGAUGAGUAGGGCGGGACACGUGGUAUCCUGUCUGAAUAUGGGGGGACCAUCCUCCAAGGCUAAAUACUCCUGACUGACCGAUAGUGAACCAGUACCGUGAGGGAAAGGCGAAAAGAACCCCGGCGAGGGGAGUGAAAAAGAACCUGAAACCGUGUACGUACAAGCAGUGGGAGCCCCACCACCAAAGCAUUCUCUGGUGUUGAAGGCCCUGCAAAGCAGCAUCGCGGUGGCGGAGCGUCGUUUGCGACGCCCAACACACAAAACAAGCGGUGAGUGCUUUGGGGUGGGGUGACUGCGUACCUUUUGUAUAAUGGGUCAGCGACUUAUAUUCUGUAGCAAGGUUAACCGUAUAGGGGAGCCGGAGGGAAACCGAGUCUUAACUGGGCGUUAAGUUGCAGGGUAUAGACCCGAAACCCGGUGAUCUAGCCAUGGGCAGGUUGAAGGUUGGGUAACACUAACUGGAGGACCGAACCGACUAAUGUUGAAAAAUUAGCGGAUGACCUGUGGCUGGGGGUGAAAGGCCAAUCAAACCGGGAGAUAGCUGGUUCUCCCCGAAAGCUAUUUAGGUAGCGCCUCGUGAAUUCAUCUCCGGGGGUAGAGCACUGUUUCGGCUAGGGGGCCAUCCCGGCUUACCAACCCGAUGCAAACUGCGAAUACCGGAGAAUGUUAUCACGGGAGACACACGGCGGGUGCUAACGUCCGUCGUGAAGAGGGAAACAACCCAGACCGCCAGCUAAGGUCCCAAAGUCAUGGUUAAGUGGGAAACGAUGUGGGAAGGCCCAGACAGCCAGGAUGUUGGCUUAGAAGCAGCCAUCAUUUAAAGAAAGCGUAAUAGCUCACUGGUCGAGUCGGCCUGCGCGGAAGAUGUAACGGGGCUAAACCAUGCACCGAAGCUGCGGCAGCGACGCUGAUGCGUUGUUGGGUAGGGGAGCGUUCUGUAAGCCUGUGAAGGUGGCCUGUGAGGGUUGCUGGAGGUAUCAGAAGUGCGAAUGCUGACAUAAGUAACGAUAAAGCGGGUGAAAAGCCCGCUCGCCGGAAGACCAAGGGUUCCUGUCCAACGUUAAUCGGGGCAGGGUGAGUCGACCCCUAAGGCGAGGCCGAAAGGCGUAGUCGAUGGGAAACGGGUUAAUAUUCCCGUACUUGGUGUUACUGCGAAGGGGGGACGGAGAAGGCUAUGUUGGCCGGGCGACGGUUGUCCCGGUUUAAGCGUGUAGGUGUGUGUUCCAGGUAAAUCCGGUUCACUUUAACACUGAGGCGUGAUGACGAGGCACUACGGUGCUGAAGCAACAAAUGCCCUGCUUCCAGGAAAAGCCUCUAAGCAUCAGGUAACAUCAAAUCGUACCCCAAACCGACACAGGUGGUCAGGUAGAGAAUACCAAGGCGCUUGAGAGAACUCGGGUGAAGGAACUAGGCAAAAUGGUGCCGUAACUUCGGGAGAAGGCACGCUGACACGUAGGUGAAGUGAUUUACUCACGGAGCUGAAGUCAGUCGAAGAUACCAGCUGGCUGCAACUGUUUAUUAAAAACACAGCACUGUGCAAACACGAAAGUGGACGUAUACGGUGUGACGCCUGCCCGGUGCCGGAAGGUUAAUUGAUGGGGUCAGCGCAAGCGAAGCUCCUGAUCGAAGCCCCGGUAAACGGCGGCCGUAACUAUAACGGUCCUAAGGUAGCGAAAUUCCUUGUCGGGUAAGUUCCGACCUGCACGAAUGGCGUAAUGAUGGCCAGGCUGUCUCCACCCGAGACUCAGUGAAAUUGAACUCGCUGUGAAGAUGCAGUGUACCCGCGGCAAGACGGAAAGACCCCGUGAACCUUUACUAUAGCUUGACACUGAACAUUGAGCCUUGAUGUGUAGGAUAGGUGGGAGGCUUUGAAGUGUGGACGCCAGUCUGCAUGGAGCCGACCUUGAAAUACCACCCUUUAAUGUUUGAUGUUCUAACGUGGACCCGUAAUCCGGGUUGCGGACAGUGUCUGGUGGGUAGUUUGACUGGGGCGGUCUCCUCCUAAAGAGUAACGGAGGAGCACGAAGGUUGGCUAAUCCUGGUCGGACAUCAGGAGGUUAGUGCAAUGGCAUAAGCCAGCUUGACUGCGAGCGUGACGGCGCGAGCAGGUGCGAAAGCAGGUCAUAGUGAUCCGGUGGUUCUGAAUGGAAGGGCCAUCGCUCAACGGAUAAAAGGUACUCCGGGGAUAACAGGCUGAUACCGCCCAAGAGUUCAUAUCGACGGCGGUGUUUGGCACCUCGAUGUCGGCUCAUCACAUCCUGGGGCUGAAGUAGGUCCCAAGGGUAUGGCUGUUCGCCAUUUAAAGUGGUACGCGAGCUGGGUUUAGAACGUCGUGAGACAGUUCGGUCCCUAUCUGCCGUGGGCGCUGGAGAACUGAGGGGGGCUGCUCCUAGUACGAGAGGACCGGAGUGGACGCAUCACUGGUGUUCGGGUUGUCAUGCCAAUGGCACUGCCCGGUAGCUAAAUGCGGAAGAGAUAAGUGCUGAAAGCAUCUAAGCACGAAACUUGCCCCGAGAUGAGUUCU
rnacentral:rRNA from 1 species